UUGGCACUUGAAUAGAAAGUAUGACUGUAAUUACAGAAACUCCCCCUACCGUUUGUACUUAUUUUCCUUGACCGUUAGUUGACCAGAGAUAGGUCGAAAUUACAUUUGCCCCUGAAAAAAGUCUAAAAUGCCUUUGGUGCCAAUUAUUAAAUAUUAAGCUAAUCAUUGCAACACCUUAGGAAAUAAAAAUUCCCCACCAAGUAUCUUCAACUGGGGAAAACAAAACUACCACUAGGAAACUUGGCUAGCCAGACUAUACAGUAAAAUAAAAUUCAACAUAAUACAACAGUUCAAAAUCAACUUUGGUAUUUCUAAUACACAAUAACCUUGACAUUUGUUUAGUUCCAUUGAUCUUUAAAAUCCUCCUAGUUGCAUGAUAUUUUCCAACCAUCUCCUUUGGAAUAAGAAUUUAUUCUCCACCACUAACUUCGACCUUUACUGUUUUUUCUUUUACUUCUUUGUGAAGUACAACUACCUUAUUUUCCAAAUUUUCAGCAUAUCCUGCCUUCUUUCUUUCCAAUUAUUCCUGCCAAAUUUACUAAAUGUGCUGAAGAUGAAAUGGGAAGUAGAGUAAAGAAAAAAAAAAUCUAGAAACAAGAAGAGUCAGGUAACCUCCACCUUCUUUGAGUUGGGCUUAUAAAAUUCCCUCUUACUAGCUUCACAUGCAGCAGUGGCCGAGAGCUUUUUGGCCUUGAUCAAAUUUUUUACAAUUAAUUCAAUUCAAAUAUGAUCUGUAGAAAAAAUAUUAAAAAAAUUAUAUUUUUACACAUCAUGGUUAAAAAAAUUAUAUUUCUUCAUUGUAUUUAUCACUAAUGCUUUUCUUAUCAAGUGACGAAAAAAUCUCCAUAUUAAGGAGCACAAGCAAUAUCCUUUUCAACUUCUUCAAAACAUCACAAACAAACCCAUAUUUUCUAAUAUUAUUAAUACAUACAACUUCACUAAUUUCUAACCUACAUAGGUAUAUUUAGUUCAAGCACAUGUUAAGAAGUCAAAUCUUCCAAACAUCAUCCAUAUUAUUCAUAACAGUGCUAACCCAUUUUUAUUUGACAAAGAACCCACAUAAAAAUCACUAAUUUCUAACAUCAUAUGUUUUGAUUAGCUCAUAACUUGACAAAUUAGAUGGUAAAAAUCUAAAAGUAACAAACAACAUGCAUCUUCUUCAACACAUCAACAAACUGAUAUAAUUUUUUAGUGAACAACACAAUGCCAGUAAUUUCUCCAGCACUUCACAAGCCCAUUUUCAUUUUCAAACAAAAAAAAAAAUGUCCAAUCUAUGAUUAAAAUAAAAUAAAAUAAUAAUUAAUUUAAAAUAAAAUACAUUAAAAAAAUAAAAAUCCACAAUCUUUUCAAGAUUAACCUUCUUUACUCCAGUUCAAUGCAGUCAUGUAUGACACCGAACGCCAUUGAUUUUCACAUGAUGUCACCCUUAAGCCACCACUGACACUUUUCUUGUUAACAAAUCUAAGCUAAAGUUGCGGGGUUUGGUGACUAAAAUUUGAUUUUUGUUUUUUUUCCAUCUUCAAAGCAUUUACAUAGGUGGAUGGGUAUGUGUGUGCUUCGGUUGAUGAAAGAGAAAAUAGUUUUUAGUGUUUC
rnacentral:lncRNA from 1 species